rnacentral:lncRNA from 10 species
UCUAGGGAGGAGCUUUUACUUCAACUCAAAAUAGGACUGGAGCUGACUGGUGACCUGGCGCUCGAUGGACGGAAACGCUGUUCUUGCCGCUUCGGCAGCUCCCAUACUGGUGGGAGAGGCAAACUUGCAGUCUGCUCAUCUUAAGAUGGUGAAUGUUGAGAUAGGGUUGCUCCCGAAAAGCCGAGAAGAGGAGCCGUUUGACCCAACUUGAGGGUGAUCCGAUAGACACUCUUUAGGGCGUCUGCAGAGUGGGUGCGCGUGGAGACAGUCAAUAAGAGAAAAUCGUAAAUACAGAUGGUAUUCUAAAUCUAGCAUGCAUGUAAAGUUGUGUGACAUUUUAAAGAUUACAUUUUACACUUUAGUAUUGUUUUCAUUUUUAAUCACAUAAAUGGGGGAACACCAUAUUAAACUUUUCUGAACUUAGUACUUUUUUAAAAAGUUCUUAAUCAGGGCCUAGAUUCAAAGACGGAAAGCUUGCUUGAGAAGGCCAUGCCCGAAUCAGGCCAGGCAAGGAAAGAAAGGACAUUCCAGACAGAGGGAGUAAUUGAGGUAAAAGCCUGUGGCAUGAAUCAGUACAGCCGAUCGUGCAGGUCACCUAAAGCAGUCGUUUUAUUAGACCAGGUGUGGGGAGGGACGUGGUUGGACAGGGGUGCGGGUGCAGGUUCACACAGCGCCCUGAGGUCACCAUCGUGCUUAGGAGUUAGAAUUCUGUUCUCAGAAUGAAGAUCGGCCUUUAACAAGGUUGAAAUGGUCAGAUUUUUAUUUUAAAGUAUUGCUCUGAGGACUAGGGUGGGAGUGGAGGGCGUUUGUGGACCUCUCCCUAAAUCAUUUAUUCAAAAUAUUU